rnacentral:lncRNA from 1 species
CCUAAGUUAAUCGUGACAGCACAAAUUAACCAUCAGAUUUUCCUUAACUCAUUGAAUUGGACAGGAUACACAUCACAACCAAAUUAUCCUUAUUAAGUUCCCUAACUAUGAAAAACAUGAUAGAAAGACAUAUCAAAGGUCAUUAAGUUCUUUGAAAAUCAUAAGCAUUGACGUGGCAUUCAUAACUAUGAAAAGCAUGAUACUCCUGCCUAGGAUUUACUUAACACAAUCAUGACUAGUGACUUUUACUACUUGUGAAUAUAAGUUCAUAACGAUUAGGUGAAACUCCCUUAUACUCUAGCAUCAAAUCAAGUAUGCAUCCUCAAUUAACAUAUAUAAACAAGUUUUGAUAACGCAGAUAAUCAAAUCACAUU